GAUGAAGAACGUAGCGAAAUGCGAUAAGUAGUGUGAAUUGCAGAAUUCAGUGAAUCAUCGAAUCUUUGAACGCACAUUGCGCCCCUUGGUAUCCCGAGGGGCAUGCCUGUUCGAGCGUCAUUUCACCACUCAAGCCUGGCUUGGUGUUGGGCGACGUCCUCUUUGGGGACGCGCCUCGAAACGCUCGGCGGCGUGGCACCGGCUUUAAGCGUAGCAGAAUCUUUCGCUUUGGAAGUCGGGGCCCCGUCUGCCGGAAGACCUGCUCGCAAGGUUGACCUCGGAUCAGGCAGGGAUACCCGCUGAACUUAAGCAUAUAAUAAGCGGAGGA
rnacentral:misc_RNA from 1 species